GCAGUCGAACGAUGAAGCCUUUCGGGGUGGAUUAGUGGCGAACGGGUGAGUAACACGUGGGCAAUCUGCCCUUCACUCUGGGACAAGCCCUGGAAACGGGGUCUAAUACCGGAUAACACUCCUCAGGGCAUCUUGAGGGGUUAAAAGCUCCGGCGGUGAAGGAUGAGCCCGCGGCCUAUCAGCUUGUUGGUGGGGUGAUGGCCUACCAAGGCGACGACGGGUAGCCGGCCUGAGAGGGCGACCGGCCACACUGGGACUGAGACACGGCCCAGACUCCUACGGGAGGCAGCAGUGGGGAAUAUUGCACAAUGGGCGAAAGCCUGAUGCAGCGACGCCGCGUGAGGGAUGACGGCCUUCGGGUUGUAAACCUCUUUCAGCAGGGAAGAAGCGAAAGUGACGGUACCUGCAGAAGAAGCGCCGGCUAACUACGUGCCAGCAGCCGCGGUAAUACGUAGGGCGCAAGCGUUGUCCGGAAUUAUUGGGCGUAAAGAGCUCGUAGGCGGCUUGUCACGUCGGAUGUGAAAGCCCGGGGCUUAACCCCGGGUCUGCAUUCGAUACGGGCUAGCUAGAGUGUGGUAGGGGAGAUCGGAAUUCCUGGUGUAGCGGUGAAAUGCGCAGAUAUCANGAGGAACACCGGUGGCGAAGGCGGAUCUCUGGGCCAUUACUGACGCUGAGGAGCGAAAGCGUGGGGAGCGAACAGGAUUAGAUACCCUGGUAGUCCACGCCGUAAACGUUGGGAACUAGGUGUUGGCGACAUUCCACGUC
rnacentral:rRNA from 1 species